UGUAUGAUGAUAUUAAUUGGUCCGUGUUUAUGAAUUUAUAUUGAUUUUAAUUUUUCCAAUUACUGAUUCUA
rnacentral:snoRNA from 1 species